AUGCACGAACAUCCUAUUUUAACAGUGAUACUACGUUCCUACGUUCCUACGUUCCUAGGCAUGGCUGAAUUACGAGCUCAACGUUUGAAAAAUUUGUUCGAUGCAGUUCUUGAAGGUAAGAAAACUAUUACUCCCAUCACUUCAAACCUUUUUCUAGAGGCCAUUUGUGAACAGUCACCGGCAGUAACUACCAUCUCGUCUUUAGUGUCCAGCCCACAUGGUCUUGAGGCUUUACUGUUAGCAUUUAGCAGUGAUACUUCAAUUGAUUUUCUCAAUGGAAAGCUUGCCGUGUUUUUGGAGCACAUCAAAGCACCAGAUUUGCAGACUAUCCAAGAUGGUAAAGCGGUUCGGCAGAUCAUUGCAAAGCUGAUGGAAGCCCCUCUAACGUGGAAAAGUCUCGUCAAAGCGGCGCACGAUCGGGCUUUGAACGAACGUGCUCUUGGCGUAUUUGCAUGGCUUCUUGUACAACUGCUUUAUUUGCCCGUCAAGGAAGCCGCCGCUUACUUGUCUGUAGCACGAGAUCCUUCCAUUCAAAGAGCUCUCCUUGAAUCUUCCUCGUACGAUGUCAAGAGCCAAGGAGAACUAAUCAAGCAAAUCGCCGAUAAAAUAGCUGAAAGCUCGGGCUCGGAGGAGCCAGUUCUGAAGAUUACACAACGUGACCCUGGUGGACGACAUGACAAUGAUUUUCCCGAGAUUCACAGGAUUUCCAUCUAUCCGACCCCGGAUGAGCUGAAAGCAACGGCUAGAUACUUGCCCAGGCCUUGCGACGCCGAAGACAGAGCUCAGGAAUCGGAUGCUCUUGCUAGUCAUAUUGACUGUCAAUUCCGUCUGCUCCGCGAGGACAUGCUUUGCGAAUUGCGUGAGGAUCUUGCAGCGGUUACGCAGCCUAAACAUAGAGGCAGAAAACCCUUGGAGAUCUUGAACCUUUCUUUAGAGGGUGUCUAUUGCGAUCUCCGCUCACCCUGGUCCGUGCAACUUCAUUGCACAAAAGGCUUGCCGCAAUUACGUGGUUUGAGAUCUAAUCAGCGAAAGAAUUACUUUAAAAAUAAACAAAAUUUUUAA
rnacentral:lncRNA from 1 species